GUGAUUUUGAUAGGAAAUGAUAUUUAGGACCUAAUUGUGAAAAAGUUGUGAAUUGAAGGUUUCUGUUGAAAUUAAGAAUAUAAAAGGUUUUGAAAUAGUUUAUAAUGAUAAAAUAAAGUGUUAAUUGAGAAAAAUUAGUUCAAUUGAUGGGUGAAUUGAGAAGGGACUAAAUUGUGAAAAUUGUAAAUUUUGGGGUAAAAGUGCAAUUUCGAAAUUUGAACAGCAUAAAUUGUGAAGUGAAAUAGAAUUGAAAUGGAUGCUAAUGAAGGAAUGAUUUUAUAAUUAUAGAUCAAGAAAACGAACUGAAUCGUGGAAAGGAGAAAAUUCAAGAAUAGUCCCUGAAUUUCUACGACUUUUACAAAUUAGUCCAGAUUGACUUGAAGUGAAGUGGGUAGAUCGGAUCAACACAACAGGGCACACUAUUCAGAUCAAUUCCGGUAGUUUUUGUUUUAUGUUUAAAGAUUUAUAUGGCAUGUAUAGAGUUUGAAUGAAUUGAAGUAAAGAUGUUAUAAA